rnacentral:rRNA from 1 species
UACAGAGGGGCAAGCGUUAUUCGGAAUUAUUGGGCGUAAAGGCGCGUAGGCGGCUCGGCAAGUCGGAUGUGAAAUCCCUCGGCUCAACCAAGGAAGUGCAUCCGAAACUGCCAAGCUUGAGUACUUAAGAGGAUCGCGGAAUUCCCGGUGUAGAGGUGAAAUUCGUAGAUAUCGGGAGGAACGACCGGUGGCGAAGGCGGGUCUCUGGGCAUCUCCGUGACGCUGAGGCGCGAAAGCGUGGGGAGCAAACGGG